UGGGGAAUAUUGGACAAUGGGCGAAAGCCUGAUCCAGCCAUGCCGCGUGUGUGAAGAAGGUCUUCGGAUUGUAAAGCACUUUAAGUUGGGAGGAAGGGCAGUAAGCGAAUACCUUGCUGUUUUGACGUUACCGACAGAAUAAGCACCGGCUAACUCUGUGCCAGCAGCCGCGGUAAUACAGAGGGUGCAAGCGUUAAUCGGAAUUACUGGGCGUAAAGCGCGCGUAGGUGGUUCGGUAAGUUGAAUGUGAAAGCCCCGGGCUCAACCUGGGAACUGCAUCCAAAACUGGCGAGCUAGAGUAGGGCAGAGGGUGGUGGAAUUUCCGGUGUAUCGGAGAAAUGCGUAGAUAUAGGAAGGAACACCAGUGGCGAAGGCGACCACCUGGGCUCAUACUGACACUGAGGUGCGAAAGCGUGGGGAGCAAACAGG
rnacentral:rRNA from 1 species